GGACUACCAGGGUAUCUAAUCCGGUUGGCUCCCCACGCGGUCGCACAUGAGUGUCAGUACACGCCCAGAUGGCUCCCUUCGGCCUUGGUGUUCCUGCCGAUCUCUACGCAUUUCACCACUACACCGGCAAUUCCACCAUCCUCUGCGUGACUCGAGCGCGGCAGUCUGUGCUGGCCUCCCCGGGUUAAGCCCGAGGCUUUCACACCACACUUGCCGUGCCACCUGCGUGCGCUGUACGCCCAGUAAUUCCGGACAACGCUGGCCCCCUCUGUCUUACCGCGGCUGCUGGCAC
rnacentral:rRNA from 1 species